AUUGAACGCUGGCGGCAGGCCUAACACAUGCAAGUCGAGCGGAUGAAGGGAGCUUGCUCCUGGAUUCAGCGGCGGACGGGUGAGUAAUGCCUAGGAAUCUGCCUGGUAGUGGGGGAUAACGUCCGGAAACGGGCGCUAAUACCGCAUACGUCCUGAGGGAGAAAGUGGGGGAUCUUCGGACCUCACGCUAUCAGAUGAGCCUAGGUCGGCUUAGCUAGUUGGUGGGGUAAAGGCCUACCAGGCGACGAUCCGUAACUGGUCUGAGAGGAUGAUCAGUCACACUGGAACUGAGACACGGUCCAGACUCCUACGGGAGGCAGCAGUGGGGAAUAUUGGACAAUGGGCGAAAGCCUGAUCCAGCCAUGCCGCGUGUGUGAAGAAGGUCUUCGGAUUGUAAAGCACUUUAAGUUGGGAGGAAGGGCAGUAAGUUAAUACCUUGCUGUUUUGACGUUACCAACAGAAUAAGCACCGGCUAACUUCGUG
rnacentral:rRNA from 1 species